GGGAUGCAGGUUCGGCGUCUUUACUUGGAACCCGAUCCCUGUCCAAUUUCAGCCGUCGUACCUGCAUCCCGGCGAGCACUUUCGGAGAAGGAUACUAUUCUUGCCAACUUAAGGUACGACUGUCUCUCCCUUUUAAUACCAAGUUUCCGUUUGGCGAUCCUGUGAGAGAAAUAGUUGAUAAAAAUUGAAGUCUUGUAUUCAAAAACAGCUCUUUGGCUUUUCGCUUCAUUAAAUACAGAGAAUAAUGUGUGUAUGUAUGCUUUGUCGAUCUGGGUUGGUGUAUAAUUUGCUUUAUCAAUUGAUUCUGAUCAAGUUCAGUAUCUUGCUCUGCUGUACCUUCCAAUUGUAGAACGCCCGCUUGCUGUCUCUGGCUGCAGUUGGACUUUCAUCAACUGGGUGGGCUCUACUUGUUAUAAAAUAAAAAAAAAAAAUUUUUGUAAAUACGCAGCAAUGUCCGGGGCCAGCUUCAAAGUCUAAACCUUGAAGGCCUCUGGCUCGCUUUCUUGUACUCACGCAGUCACUGCUCUCUCUCAACUUUCUGUCUAUUCACUCUCUCGACUUUGCUAUUUUCUACGCAGCACAGAAGCAAAGUGCCCGCCCCUCAAUUUCGCAGCAGCUCAAUCUCCACGCAUCACAGAAGCAAUCCAUCACUCUCUCUCUCCCCCACUCUGACGACAUGAGGAAACAGUUGAGCACAAAACGAGGAUUGGGGAGGUGCAGGAGGCAUGGAAUGCCUGAGCCUGAGAAUUUUAACACGAGGAAACAUGUGAAAAGGAAUGGUCAUAUUGAAGAAGCAGCUGCUUAUAGCCCAUCUUCGCAUUCCUCAGGGGAUUUAUCUGAAGAGAACUCUACUGCUGUUACUUCAGGAGAAGUAAAUCAAAAGGAGUCAUCAAUAUAUGAUAGUUUGUUGAUGAAACUACAAUCAUGUAACAAAUCUCUUUAUGAUGCUUACAAGAAGAGAAAAAGAGAAGAAGAAGGUAAAAGUGACUCAGAAGAAGAAGAUGACUCUGGAUCUCUUAGUGUUUCCAAUGAGGAAGAUAGUGGUGAAGAAGGAACUGAUAAUGAAAGAAGUCAUAUUAUAGAUAGUAAAUUGCAAGAGCCUAGCAUGAUUAGCAUCGUGGACAGGAGUGAAGAUGCUGAAUCAGAAGAUGAUCAUGAGGCUUCUGAUGCAGAUCAAGAGAACAACUUGGGUGUCAAUAUCGAAACUGAUGUUAAGGCAUCAAUGCCUACAAGUUCUUUUCACGAUCACUUGGGCCAAAAGAUAUCAGAGGGAGAGAUUGAGAAUCUAUCAAACAAAAAGUGGGAGUAUAAAUGGGAGGUGCCUGCAUUUGACAUGUCAAAUUGCAAGUGGAUAGGGACAGGGAAGUGUUUUCUAAAGGGUGUUGACAUCGAUUCUAAUUAUGGUCUAAAGCAAAGAUUAUUUAAGCACUGGUUGGAUGAUUACAAAAUAAGUGGAGGCAAUGACUUUCAUUCAUCUAAGCAGAGAUUGUUCUUCUCCCUUUGUAACAGCUACAGGGAUAUACUGCACUGUAACAAGAAACCUUUUUAUCUCAAAGGUUUGGAAGAGGAUUCCAGUAUCAUGGACGCUUAUAUUAUGCAUUCUCUGAAUCAUGUAUUCAGAACUAGAGAUCUUAUAAGAAAGAAUGAUUCAAAAAUGGAAAAGCAUCAAGAGAGUGCUGGGGAUGAAUCACUUACUGUUGAUGGUUUCCUUGAUCAUGGAUUUACUCGUCCAAAGGUUUUGAUCUUAUUGCCUUUUAGAAAUAUAGCACUUCGGGUUGUUAGGAGGCUAAUACAACUGACGCCUCAAGCAGACAAGGUCAAUGUAGAGCAUGCUGAUCGUUUCUAUAAUCAGUUUGGAACACGGGAUGAUGAAGACAUUGUAGAUGGUGAUGAAUUCACGCAAAAUGUUGGAAAUUCAAAACGUUCGAAGUCUUCAAAACCAUGCGACUAUCAAGCACUUUUUAGUGGAAAUUAUGAUGAUGACUUUAUGAUAGGCAUUAAGUUCACAAGGAGGAGCAUAAAAUUAUACAGUGAUUUCUAUUCCUCUGACAUGAUUGUCGCUUCUCCUCUCAACUUGCAUGCUAGAAUUGAGAAGGCCAUACUUGACAAGGAAACAGAUGUUGAUUAUCUUUCUUCCAUAGAGGUUCUUGUUAUUGAUCAUGCAGAUGUAAUAACAAUGCAGAAUUGGAACUUUCUCACUAAGGUUCUCGGACAAUUGAACCAUAUACCUUCUAAGCAACAUGGGACUGAUAUUAUGCGAAUUAGAAAGUGGUAUCUGGAUGGAAAUGCAAGAUUUUAUCGGCAAACAAUUGUUUUAGGUCAUUAUGUAAACCCAGACAUUAAUGCUUCAUUCAAUCACCAAUGUGCUAACCACCAAGGGAAGGUAAAGUUAGUUUGCGAGUAUAAAGGUGUUCUUUCAAAAGUCUUACUCCAAGUGCGACAGGUUUACGAGCGAUUUGAUGUAAACUCAAUGGCAAAUGUUGAUGAUGCUCGUCUUGAAUAUUUCAUUAAAAUGGUGUUCCCAAAGAUCAAAGAUUCUACUCAGGUAUUUAUUUUAUUUUAUUUUUAUUGCAAACAGAAAUAGGAAUUUUUUUGUGCAGCUAUGCUUUGAGCAUCCAUCCGUGGAACUUUUGUGCAGGGAGGAAUUAUGCUAUUUAUUAGUUCUUACUUCGAAUAUGUGAGACUUCGCAACUAUUUGAAGUCACAGAAUGCAUCUUUCUGCGUACUAGCAGACUACACUGAACCGAGUGACGUAUCUCGUGCUCGAGUUUGGUUUUUUGAAGGGAGAAAGAAGAUCAUGCUUUAUACCGAGAGAGUUCAUUUCUUCCACAGAUAUAAGAUUCGGGGCAUUCAAAACUUGAUUAUCUAUUCUCUUCCGGAGAGGAAGGAGUUCUAUCCUGAGGUGGUUAACAUGCUUGAAGGGGCCAAUAACAUGACAUGCACUGUACUUUUUUCUCAAUUUGAUCAAAUACGGCUGGAAAGAAUCGUUGGAACUGCUUCUGCAAGAAGGAUGAUCAAAUCGGAAAAGAAUGUCUUUUUAUUCUGUUAGAAGACUUGUUCGUUCUCUAUAAAGUUUCACUACUGCAACAUGGAAAGUCUGGAAGCUCGACGGGCUAACGAAAACCAUUUGAUUGCUAACAACUCAUCUGGCAGAAGAAUUGAUAUAAUUAGCUUAGAAUGACAAAAUUAUGAUGGUAGCAUUCUAAGAGGGAUUUUGCAAAAAAAAAAAAGUGUGGGUGGGGGGCCAAAGCAGAAGAUAAAAGGGCUUUCUGAGUUGUUCAGAGCGCCUUGAGAAAUGGUUGCUACUGUGGAAAACUGCUUUGGUUACUUAGAAACUGCUAGUUAUUAGCGUUUUAUUUAUUUUUCUUGGUUUCAUUGAAUAACUAAUAGAUUUUAUAAUUAUUAAAUUAAUAAUUUUUUUAUUGUUU
rnacentral:misc_RNA from 1 species